GUCAAAAGAGGACAACCUUUGAAACGUGAUGAAGGUUUUAUAUUUUAGAAUCUGAUACAAGUUUUUUAUAUUAUUCAGUAGAAGAAGAAUUGGUCAUAGCUUUCUUUGCAGCACCAGUGAUGGCUCGAGCUUCAAAUAAUUAAGGUGAAAACUAUUAUUUUUAUUCACUGUAGAGUAUAAAGCUAUGGUAUCUUAUUGGGCCUGGAUAUGUAUUCCCUUGCAAAUUUUUCCUUUUUCCCCCACAAAGAUUUCACCAUGUUUCCUUGUUUUCCCAACUUUAUGGUCCCUUGUUUUUUUAUCAUUUUUUUUCUUUGAAUUCUGAUUGCAAAAUAUGCAUUGUUCUCUGGUUUCCUAAAACCAGCCCUGGGAGACCCUCAGUACAGUCUCACAAUUAUUUGGUGUUAAGAAUUUUAGGACCCAAAGGCAACUGACAAUGGCUUCCUCUAUGAAUUCCAUUUCAGAACCAUGAAAAACUAGUUUGAUAUAAAUAUUAUAAUAUGAAAUAAGUUCCUCUAUGAACAUUGCCAGGUUUUGCAGCUAUGAAUACUCAAGUCACAACUUAGAAAACCAAUAGUAAAAUGUGUCUCAGAC